CUUGUUAUAACUUCAUUUCUUUUCCAAUUUAAUAAAAAAUGUUGACGGGUGUAAUUUUACUGCAACGCUAACAAGUUUCUCCGUUUAACCUUGCCGAAAUGAACUUUAUUCGCAGCAACUUAAACGAUUUCUCUUUGUGCAGGUGGCUCGAACUGGAAGAGUGGCACUGGUGCGAGAGUCAGGUGUUGAUUCAAGGUACCUCCGUGGGUAUUCUUACCCAUUGUAAUCAUGGAUUUCUCGAGUUCACAGCAUGAGGGAUGUUCGUUUUCUUUCUACAAGCUAGAUGCAUAUUUCGUGUUUGCCUCUGUUUGAAAAAACAAGCUAAACGCAUAGUUUUGUGUGCCUUUGUUUGAUGUUGGGAAACUACUCUACGUGGAUGUUGCUAGAAGUCACGUCGUUUGGAUAUAAGAUAUUUUGUCCAAUUUUGUUGUCUAUCCAAUAAAUUAUUGAUGUCAUCAAUUUGAUUGGUUAGUGGUGAAGUCAACUUGUAUGGCGUUCUUUGAAAAUUACAAUCCAAAAAGGUAGAGAACAUGUUUAUUGAACUGGAUCGGACACUAAAGUGCACAGGAUUUUGAUUUCUU
rnacentral:lncRNA from 1 species